AUCUUCGGGGCAGGGUGAAAUUCCCUACCGGUGGUUAAAGCCCACGAGCCAUUUGGUUGAUUCGGUGAGAUUCCGAAGCCGACGGUACAGUCCGGAUGAAAGAAGAU
rnacentral:ncRNA from 1 species